rnacentral:rRNA from 1 species
AAGGAUCAUUACCGAGUUAGGGUCUCCUCCGUGAGGCCCGACCUCCCAACCCUGUGUCUACACAAACCUGUACGUGUUGCUUCGGCGGACCGGUGGCCCCCGCGAGGGGACCGCCGCCGGGGGACGACGGCUUCACGGCCGCCCCUUGGAGAGUCGUCCGUCGAUGGCCCCAACCCAACCAAAACUCAGAAUACCAAACAGUGAAAACACCUUCUGAAUCAGACUUUUGAUGUAACAAUCAAUAAAAACAAAACUUUCAACAACGGAUCUCUUGGUUCUGGCAUCGAUGAAGAACGCAGCGAAAUGCGAUAAGUAAUGCGAAUUGCAGAAUUUCCGUGAGUCAUCGAAUCUUUGAACGCACAUUGCGCCCUUUGGCAUUCCGAAGGGCAUGCCUGUUCGAGCGUCAUUAUCCUCCCUCAAACCUCGGGUUUGGUGUUGGACCGCGUUGGAGCCCUCCGGGGCCCCAACUGGUCUCAAAGACAAUGACGGCGUCCGUGGGACCCUCUUCGCACUGAGCUUUCCGGAGCACGCGUCGAGUUUCAAGGCCCCAGGGACCCGGUCACCUCUAUUUACUUCUAAGGUUGACCUCGGAUCAGGUAGGAAUACCCGCUGAACUUAA